rnacentral:rRNA from 1 species
UCCAGACUCCUACGGGAGGCAGCAGUGGGGAAUAUUGGACAAUGGGGGAAACCCUGAUCCAGCGACGCCGCGUGAGUGAAGAAGUAUUUCGGUAUGUAAAGCUCUAUCAGCAGGGAAGAAGAAAUGACGGUACCUGACUAAGAAGCCCCGGCUAACUACGUGCCAGCAGCCGCGGUAAUACGUAGGGGGCAAGCGUUAUCCGGAUUUACUGGGUGUAAAGGGAGCGUAGACGGUAAGGCAAGUCAGAUGUGAAAGCCCGGGGCUCAACCGCGGGACUGCAUUUGAAACUGGCCUACUGGAGUGCAGGAGAGGUAAGUGGAAUUCCUAGUGUAGCGGUGAAAUGCGUAGAUAUUAGGAGGAACACCAGUGGCGAAGGCGGCCUGCUGGACCGAAACUGACGUUGAGGCUCGAAAGCGUGGGGAGCAAACAGGAUUAGAUACCCCGGUAC